UCCCUGGCGGCUCAGACGGUAAAGCGUCUGCCUACAAUGCAGGAGACCCGGGUUCGAUCCCUAGCUCGGGAA
rnacentral:tRNA from 1 species